AACGAACGCUGGCGGCAUGCCUAACACAUGCAAGUCGAACGAGACCUUCGGGUCUAGUGGCGCACGGGUGCGUAACGCGUGGGAACCUGCCCUUAGGUUCGUAAUAACUCCCCGUCAGGGGUGCUAAUACCGGAUAAUGUCUUCGGACCAAGGAUUUAUCGCCUUUGGAUGGGCCCGGGGUGGAUUAGCUAGUUGGUAGGGUAAAAGCCUACCAAGGCGACGAUCCAUAGCUGGUCUGAGAGGAUGAUCAGCCACACUGGGACUGAGACACGGCCCAGACUCCUACGGGAGGCAGCAGUGGGGAAUAUUGGACAAUGGGCGAAAGUCUGAUCCAGCAAUGCCGCGUGAGUGAUGAAGGCCUUAGGGUUGUAAAGCUCUUUUACCCGGGAUGAGAAUGACAGUACCGGGAGAAUAAGCUCCGGCUAACUCCGUG
rnacentral:rRNA from 1 species